rnacentral:rRNA from 1 species
GACAGAGGGUGCAACCGUUGUUCGGAAUUACUGGGCGUAAAGCGCGUGUAGGCGGCUCUGCAAGUCGGGUGUGAAAUCCCACGGCUCAACCAUGGAAGUGCACUCGAAACUGCAGGGCUAGAGUCCUGGAGAGGAAGGUGGAAUGCUUGGUGUAGAGGUGAAAUUCGUAGAUAUCAAGCGGAACACCGGUGGCGAAGGCGGCCUUCUGGACAGUGACUGACGCUGAGAUGCGAAAGCGUGGGGAGCAAACAGG